rnacentral:tRNA from 1 species
GGAGGAAUUGAGCAAUGGUGGCUCACCAGUCUUGAAAACUGGGGCCUGCAAGGGCAUGUGGGUUCGACCCCCACUUCCUCCG